rnacentral:rRNA from 1 species
UACAGAGGGUGCGAGCGUUAAUCGGAAUUACUGGGCGUAAAGCGCACGUAGGUGGCGACGUAAGUCGGGUGUGAAAGCCCCGGGCUCAACCUGGGAAUUGCAUUCGAGACUGCAUUGCUGGAGUACGGAAGAGGAGGGCGGAAGUCCCGGUGUAGCGGUGAAAUGCGUAGAUAUCGGGAGGAACAUUAGUCGCGAAGGGGGCCCUCUGGUCCAGUACUGACACUCAAGUGCGAAAGCGUGGGGAGCAAACAGG